rnacentral:rRNA from 1 species
UACGUAGGGGCCGAGCGUUGUCCGGAGUUAUUGGGCGUAAAGCGCGCGCAGGCGGCCUCGCGCGCCCGACGUGAAAGCCCCCGGCUUAACCGGGGAGGGUCGUUGGGGACGGCGGGGCUUGAGGGCAGGAGAGGAACGCGGAAUUCCAGGUGUAGCGGUGAAAUGCGUAGAUAUCUGGAGGAACACCGGUGGCGAAGGCGGCGUUCUGGACUGUUACUGACACUGAGGAACGAAAGCCAGGGGAGCAAACGGG